AUGGAGCCCGAGAAGAGAAGAACCAAAGAAGAUACUUGGAAAUCAGAUGAACUUAAGAAACAUCUUAGGGUAUCACAGUCAGAUAGUCAAUCUGAAGAUAAGAAACAGAAGGAAAAGAAACUGCAAAGAGAUAGAGAGACUCAUGACAUGGUUGAUUACAAAGGAUACAUACACAAGGAUCAAGACAAGGACAGAGGAAAGGCAAAAGAAAGGACAGGUGAACGAGAGAGAUUUAAAUCUAGUGAAAGAGACAGGGAUAAGCUAAGAGAAAGGGGAAAAGAUCAUCACAGAGAACGAGAGAGAGAGAAAUUGAAGGAGAAGGACCAAGAAAAAGAUGCAGAGAAGGAAAAACACAUUACAAGAAAAGAUAAAGAGAAGGCAAGUGAUAAAGAAAGAGACAGAAAAUAUAGGAGGGAUGAUCUGAAGCCAGUGCUUAUACAGAAUAACCUGAAAGCAUCUGGAGGAAGGGAUAAAGAACAACGCAGAAGAAGAGAAAGCAAGGAUCAAUUGGAGCAAGCAAACAUAAGGGAUGACGUGAAAGAGAGAAGACAUACAGAAAGAAAAGUAAAGGAAGGAAAAGUAAGGAAAUGUUUCAUAACAGCAUAAGAUAAGGUGAAAUGUAAUGAAUAAAUUGGAUAAAACUCCAGUGCCU
rnacentral:lncRNA from 1 species